UCAUGAGAAACGGCUACCACAUCUAAGGAAGGCAGCAGGCGCGUAAAUUACCCAAUCCUGACUCAGGGAGGUAGUGACAAGAAAUAGCAAACCGGGAACCUCAUGGUUUCACGGUAUUGCAAUGAGAACAAUUUAAAACCCUUAGCGAGAAUCAAGUGGAGGACAAGUCUGGUGCCAGCACCCGCGGUAAUUCCAGCUCCACUAGCGUAUAUUAAAGUUGUUGCAGUUAAAAGCUCGUAGUUGAACCUCUGUCUGGGGCUAGUUUUGGCUUUGGUCAGGCUAGUUCUAGGCAUCCGCCUACAAGACUUAGAGGGCAUUCAGUUGUUCACUAGGAGGAGUAGGCAUUUUACUUUGAAAAAAUUAGAGUGUUUAAGGCAGGCAAUCGCCCGCAUAUAUUAGCAUGGAAUAAUAGAAUAGGACACUUUUCCAUUUCGUUGGUUAUUGGAAUCGUGUAAUGAUUAAUAGGGACAGUUGUGGGCAUUUGUAUUUAAUUGUCAGAGGUGAAAUUCUUGGAUUUAUUAAAGACAAACUAACGCGAAAGCAUUUGCCAAGGAUGUUUUCAUUAAUCAAGAACGAAAGUUAGGGGAUCAAAGACGAUCAGAUACCGUCCUAGUCUUAACUAUAAACUAUUCCGACUCAAUGUUUGACUGGCUUAUAUAACCAGUUGAGCGUUGUAUGAGAAAUCAAAGUCUUUAGGUUCUGGGGGGAGUAUGGUUGCAAAGCUGAAACUUAAAGGAAUUGACGGAAGAGCACAACCAGGAGUGGAUUCUGCGGCUUAAUUUGACUCAACACGGGGAAACUUACCAGGUUAAAACAAUAGUGGGAUUGACAGUUUGAGAGCGCUUUCUAGAUUGGUUGGGUGGUGGUGCAUGGCCGUUCUUAGUUGGUGGAGUGAUUUGUCUGCUUAAUUGCGUUAACGAACGAGACCUUAACCUGCUUACUAGACUGGCGAUCAUCAAUCGUUAGCUCUUCUUAGAGGGACUUUGGUUGUUUUAACUCCAAGGAAGUUUGAGGCAAUAACAGGUCUGUGAUGCCCUUAGAUAUCCUGGGCCGCACGCGUCAUACAAUGACUAGUUCAGAAAGUUUUCUCCUGACCCGAAAGGGGAUGGGUAAUCUUGAUAAUACUAGUCGUGUUAGGGAUCGAUCUUUGCAAUUAUAGAUCUUGAACGAGGAAUUCCUAGUAAGUGCGGUUCAUCAGACCGUACUGAUUACGUCCCUGCUCUUUGUACACACCGCCCGUCGCUUCUACCGAGUGGGUGGUCCGGUGAGAUAAUUGAACUUCGCAGGUAACUGAGAGGAAAGAUUAUCAAACCUAUCCACCUCGAGGAAGAAGAAGUCGUAACAAGGUU
rnacentral:rRNA from 1 species